rnacentral:rRNA from 1 species
CAGCCGCCGCGGUAAUACGUAGGUGGCAAGCGUUGUCCGGAAUUAUUGGGCGUAAAGGGCUCGCAGGCGGUUUCUUAAGUCUGAUGUGAAAGCCCCCGGCUCAACCGGGGAGGGUCAUUGGAAACUGGGAAACUUGAGUGCAGAAGAGGAGAGUGGAAUUCCACGUGUAGCGGCGAAAUGCGUAGAGAUGUGGAGGAACACCAGUGGCGAAGGCGACUCUCUGGUCUGUAACUGACGCUGAGGAGCGAAAGCGUGGGGAGCGAACAGGAUUAGAUACCCGCGUAGUCCCUGUCUCUUAUAA